GAUUAACGCUAGCGGCAGGCCUAAUACAUGCAAGUCGAACGGGAUUCAAAGUAGCAAUAUUUUGAUGAGAGUGGCGCACGGGUGAGUAACACGUAUGCAAUUUACCUUUAACUGGGGGAUAGCCCUCCGAAAGGAGGAUUAAUACCGCAUAAUAUAUUGAAAUGGCAUCAUUUUUAAUAUUAAACCUACGGGGGUUAAAGAUGAGCAUGCAUCCGAUUAGCUAGUUGGUGUGGUAACGGCUCACCAAGGCAACGAUCGGUAGGGGGUCUGAGAGGAUGAUCCCCCACACUGGUACUGAGACACGGACCAGACUCCUACGGGAGGCAGCAGUAAGGAAUAUUGGACAAUGGAGGCAACUCUGAUCCAGCCAUGCCGCGUGAAGGAUUAAGGCCCUAUGGGUUGUAAACUUCUUUUAGACGGGACAAAACCCCUUUAGUGUAAAGGGUUGAUGGUACUGUCAGAAUAGCAUCGGACUAACUUCGUGCCAGCAGCCG
rnacentral:rRNA from 1 species